AGUGAAUAGAUACCCUGGUAGUCCACGCCGUAAACGAUGGAUACUAGCUGUUCGGAGCAAAUCUGAGUGGCUAAAGCGAAAGUGAUAAGUAUCCCACCUGGGGAGUACGCACGCAAGUGUGAAACUCAAAGGAAUUGACGGGGGCCCGCACAAGCGGUGGAGCAUGUGGUUUAAUUCGAUGAUACGCGAGGAACCUUACCAGGGCUUAAAUGUAGAUUGACAGGACUGGAAACAGUUUUUCUUCGGACAAUUUACAAGGUGCUGUAUGGUUGUCGUCAGCUCGUGCCGUGAGGUGUCAGGUUAAGUCCUAUAACGAGCGCAACCCCUGUCGUUAGUUGCCAGCGAGUCAUGUCGGGAACUCUAACGAGACUGCCAGUGUAAACUGUGAGGAAGGUGGGGAUGACGUCAAAUCAUCACGGCCCUUACGUCCUGGGCCACACACGUGCUACAAUGGUAGGUACAGAGAGCAGCCACUGCGCGAGCAGGAGCGAAUCUACAAAACCUAUCUCAGUUC
rnacentral:rRNA from 1 species